AUUGAACGCUGGCGGCAUGCCUUACACAUGCAAGUCGAACGGCAGCAUGAUCUAGCUUGCUAGAUUGAUGGCGAGUGGCGAACGGGUGAGUAAUACAUCGGAACGUGCCCUGUAGUGGGGGAUAACUAGUCGAAAGAUUAACUAAUACCGCAUACGACCUGAGGGUGAAAGUGGGGGACCGCAAGGCCUCAUGCUAUAGGAGCGGCCGAUGUCUGAUUAGCUAGUUGGUGAGGUAAAGGCUCACCAAGGCGACGAUCAGUAGCUGGUCUGAGAGGACGAUCAGCCACACUGGGACUGAGACACGGCCCAGACUCCUACGGGAGGCAGCAGUGGGGAAUUUUGGACAAUGGGCGAAAGCCUGAUCCAGCAAUGCCGCGUGUGUGAAGAAGGCCUUCGGGUUGUAAAGCACUUUUGUCCGGAAAGAAAUGGCUCUGGUUAAUACCUGGGGUCGAUGACGGUACCGGAAGAAUAAGGACCGGCUAACUACGUG
rnacentral:rRNA from 1 species